ensembl:snRNA U6 U6 spliceosomal RNA
GUGCUUGCUUCAGCAGCACAUACACUAAAAUUGGAAUGAUACAGAGAAGAUUAGCAUGGGCCCUGCAUGAGGAUGAUGUGCAAAUUCGUGAAGUGUUCCAUAGUUUU